rnacentral:rRNA from 1 species
CAUACGGAACAUGUCCUGUAGUGGGGGAUAGCCCGGCGAAAGCCGGAUUAAUACCGCAACGAUCUACGGAUGAAAGCGGGGGACCUUCGGGCCUCGCGCUAUAGGGUUGGCCGAUGGCUGAUUAGCUAGUUGGUGGGGUAAAGGCCUACCAAGGCGACGAUCAGUAGCUGGUCUGAGAGGACGACCAGCCACACUGGGACUGAGACACGGCCCAGACUCCUACGGGAGGCAGCAGUGGGGAAUUUUGGACAAUGGGCGAAAGCCUGAUCCAGCAAUGCCGCGUGUGUGAAGAAGGCCUUCGGGUUGUAAAGCACUUUUGUCCGGAAAGAAAUCCUUGGCUCUAAUACAGUCGGGGGAUGACGGUACCGGAAGAAUAAGCACCGGCUAACUACGUGCCAGCAGCCGCGGUAAUACGUAGGGUGCAAGCGUUAAUCGGAAUUACUGGGCGUAAAGCGUGCGCAGGCGGUUUGCUAAGACCGAUGUGAAAUCCCCGGGCUCAACCUGGGAACUGCAUUGGUGACUGGCAGGCUAGAGUAUGGCAGAGGGGGGUAGAAUUCCACGUGUAGCAGUGAAAUGCGUGAGAUGUGGAGGAAUACCGAUGGCGAAGGCAGCCCCCUGGGCCAAUACUGACGCUCAUGCACGAGAGCGUGGGGAGCAAACAGGAUUAGAUACCCUGGUAGUCCACGCCCUAAACGAUGUCAACUAGUUGUUGGGGAUUCAUUUCCUUAGUAACGUAGCUAACGCGUGAAGUUGACCGCCUGGGGAGUACGGUCGCAAGAUUAAAACUCAAAGGAAUUGACGGGGACCCGCACCAGCGGUGGAUGAUGUGGAUUAAUUCGAUGCAACGCGAAAAACCUUACCUACCCUUGACAUGGUCGGAAUCCUGCUGAGAGGUGGGAGUGCUCGAAAGAGAACCGGCGCACAGGUGCUGCAUGGCCGUCGUCAGCUCGUGUCGUGAGAUGUUGGGUUAAGUCCCGCAACGAGCGCAACCCUUGUCCUUAGUUGCUACGCAAGAGCACUCUAAGGAGACAGCCGGUGACAAACCGGAGGAAGGUGGGGAUGACGUCAAGUCCUCAUGGCCCUUAUGGGUAGGGCUUCACACGUCAUACAAUGGUCGGAACAGAGGGUUGCCAACCCGCGAGGGGGAGCUAAUCCCAGAAAACCGAUCGUAGUCCGGAUUGCACUCUGCAACUCGAGUGCAUGAAGCGGAAUCGCUUGUAAUCGCGGAUCAGCCAUGCCGCGGUGAAUACCGUUCCCGGGUCGUUGUACU